CCAAUAGCGUAUAUUAAAGUUGUUGCAGUUAAAAAGCUCGUAGUUGAAUUUCGGGAUCAAUACGUCGGUCGUGCCUCUGGUAUGUACUGGUGUUAUUGAUUUCUCCCUUCUGAUGAAUCAUGAUGUCAUUAAUUUGGUGUUGUGUGGAGUCAGGACUGUUACUUUGAAAAAAUUCGAGUGUUUAAAGCAGGCUCACGCCUGAAUACAUUAGCAUGGAAUAAUGAAAUAGGACGUUCGAUCCUAUUUUGUUGGUUUCUAGGAUCAACGUAAUGAUUAAUAGGGAUAGUUGGGGGCAUUAGUAUUCAAUUGUCAGAGGUGAAAUUCUUGGAUUUAUUGAAGACUAACUACUGCGAAAGCAUUUGCCAAGGAUGUUUUCAUUAAUCAAGAACGAAAGUUAGGGGAUCGAAGACGAUCAGAUACCGUCGUAGUCUUAACCAUAAACUAUGCCGACUAGGGAUCGGAUGAUGUUAAUUUUUUAAUGACUCAUUCGGCGCCUUACG
rnacentral:rRNA from 1 species